rnacentral:lncRNA from 1 species
GUGCCUUAGAGAAGGCUAGCACAAAAGAUACAACGAUCGAACGAGGCGAGGCCUCCUGUCUGGGAACCUCCUAACUACUCCUGAUCAUCAGCGGCCUCCACGUAGUAGUAGGCACCGUCGGGGUAGCAGUCGUCGGCGGCGGGGACCUCCAUCUCUUGGGCUCCAUCAUCUGGUCGCAGCAACGGAUCAAGGGGACAAGGGGGGAGCAAAGCAGCGGUGAGUACUCAUCCAAAGUACUCGCAAGUCUUACAUCAGAACUAUUCUAAUUAUGCAUCAGUAUCAAAGAAGGGGGUUAUAUGUGGACUGACUGCAGCAAUGCGAGAAUAGAGAGAGAAGGCCUAGUCCUAUCGAAGGCUAGCAUCUUCAGGGUCUUGCAGCAAUAGACGAGAGUAGAAGAGGGGUAAAGCAUUAAUAGUCAUAUUGUUGCAGCAAUAUUAAAGUGAGGUCACGCCUAAAGAUCCUCCCUCGACUCCCUGCGAGGAAGAAAUCCCAAGGCAAACUAAUUCCAGUUAAGUAACAAUUGUAGUUGUAUAAGAUCGGGGCACAACUCCAAGUCGUCCUGUAACCGUGGACACGGCUAUCCAAAUAGUUAAUUUUCAUCCCUGCAGGGGUGCACCACAUGUCCCGUCACGCUCGAUAACACUCUGGCCGGACAUACUUUUCUAGGUCCUGCCCGGCCUUAGAAUAUCGACACGUCGCAGCCCCACCUAAGACUAAUCAGAGAGGCCAGCCCGCCGGUCUAAAUCCUAAGCGCAAAGGGUUCAUGGGCCCAGUUCCCCUUCGCGCUCCUGCACGUGGCUUGGGCGGCCGAGGUUAGUCCUAGCAUCCCUUAAUCACAAGCGCGAUGCAUCUCGGGACCACUCGGGCGCGCGCCGCUACAUUGCUGGCAUCUGAAAAGCUUCGGCUGAUACCGCGACGCCGAGUACCCAUAAUUCUUCCCGCGUAGCCGGAUUGUGCGAAAAGGUCUCCGACCAACCCAGAUCAAAUACCCAAAUCCAUUAACAUUUUAAUUAGGCCAACAACACAAUCUCACGGGAAUCCACCCGUCUUGCAACUAAUCACCGAAGAUCCCAGUAACAUGGUCGAGUAACUGUGUGGUUGUAACAUCGGGGGGGAAUCCGAGGUAUCACCCUCGUUGGAUUCCAAACGAUGUACCCGUCAAGGUGGGUUUAGAGGAAUCACCCUCGGGGGUCCCACACUUGAGGGGUUGCACGACAGAGGCGUCAUCGGGAAUGGUGAAAGAGGAAUCACCCUCGAUAACCACGACCGACUAGCUAUACUAUAGAGAUAUCAUCAGGAGUACUUAGCGAGGUGUCACCCUCGGUACCUGAUAGUAUCCCUAUAGCGUCGUACAACGAAGGGGGUGUAUGUGCUGUGUCGGGUCUGGCUCCUCGAUCAGAGAUCGAGAUUUGAAAACAAGCGGGGCAACUGAACUACGGGGUCAGAGGGGAUGACUGCUCCACCUAUACCAGGCAUUUUAAAGGUACAUGACUGAAAGUAGCAGUUCAUCAAAAAUAGGCUAUGCAUCAGAUAUAGGAGCUAACUACAACAGUAGCAAAAUACUAAUGCAAGCAGUAGGAAGAAAGACAUAGGCGAUAUAGGAAUGAUCAAGGGGGGUUUGCUUGCCUGGUUGCUCUGCAGACAAAACGGAUCCUCGACCGGGAAGUAAUCGAUCACCGGAUCAUCAUCGGUCUCGGGGUCUACCGGAAAGGAAAUAACGAAGGGGAAACACAAUAAAUAAGAGAGAAAGCAAACACACCACAAGGCAUGACAAGGUAAUACGUCGUGCUAGGGGUGUCCUAACGCAGUAUUAAACGUUACAGACGAAGCGGAAAAAUAUCUCACGAUAUUUCUCGGGCCUUUGACUAUUACCGAGCAGAUGAUCCUAACGCAAAAUGUCCAUAUUCAUCAAGCUAGAGGUAUGUUACGGAUAAACGAACAACGUAUUCGGAUUCGUGAGAUUUUUCUAAACAACUUUUAUGUAUAAAAUAUUAUCAUCCGAGUUACGGAUUGUUUUCUAUUAAUUUUCAAAGUUUUAAUGAUUUUCUAAAAUUUCUGGAUUUAUUUUAAUUCGAGUUGACCCAGUCAACUUGACUAGUCAAAUGGGGAGGGUGUGGCCUACAUGUCAUAGACAUCAAUUAAAUUAUGCUAGUUAAUUAAAUUAAUUAGUGUGAGUUUACUUGGCAUAGGCUAGUAGUUAAACUAACUAGUAAUUAAGACAUAGUACUAAUUAACCCACUAAGCUACUAGGCCGGCCACACUCUCCCACGCACACUUACAAGCUCACACACUCACGGACACACACACACGCACACACUCAGGCUCCCCAUGGCUAGCAGCAGCGUAGGCACAACAAGCAGCAAGCAGCUAGCAGGCCAGCAGCAGCAAAGCAGCAGACGGUUGCGGCAGCUGCGAGCAGCACAUCGAGCAAUAGCAUGGCAGUGGAGCAUCAAGUAGCAGGACAGAGUAGCGGCGAUAGAAAGCUGCACGGGCAGCAACAGCGACAUCGAGCAAGCAGCGGUAGGUCGCUGCGAGGCCUCGCGCGAGCACCCAUGCACAACAGCAAUAGCACGCACGCACGUACGCGUACAUUCGGACGAGUUCGGGAUGGCAACUACGGCGACGAAUCGAGCACGGGAACCAGGGGAAUCGGCAGAGGAGCUCACCAGGAGGCUCGUGGACAUGGUCCAAAGGCACGGGGCGGCCGGGAUGCGAAGAACUUGACGGUGAGGUGUGGCGGCCGUGGGCGAAGAUUGCUGCGAUGGCGAGCUUCUCAUGCGCCCCUACUCGAACCGAUGCGCGCAGGCGAAGCAGCCGACGACGAGGGAGCUCCUAGACACCUUCAAGCGACGAGGGAAGACAGGUGGCCACGGGAUCGACGCGACGACGACGACGACGACCAGUAGGUUCAGGCGACGAAAAACGGCGGGGCCAAUAAAAUAGAGAACGGGGGAGCUAGGGUUUGUCUCAGCGCGUGGUGGGGCUCUUAUUUAUCUCGGUGGCUUAUUGGAU